ACUUGACAUUGCAAAAUGCAGUGAGAAAUGCACAAUUACUAAAUACUAUACUCAGGUUGAGAAAAUGAAUUCCUCCUGCCCAUAUAAAAAGACCUCACAAGCAUUAGGCUCAGAGUUUCACAUCACCUGCGGAUCUCACACUGCUCUCUCCUGUCUUUGACAAUAACUUUCUGGCUCUGACAGUCAAUCUGUUGAAAGAACUUGAUCUUGCACAACACACUGACUAAUACAAUAUGGGCAUGGGUUCAUCUCAGCCUUUAUAAAGACUCUGGAACCUCAUGUGUGACUGGCACAGAAAAUCAGAUCACCUGUAUCUCUCAGCUGCUGUCUUUUGGCUCCAACUAUCAAUCUGUGUGCAGGAUAAAGUUUGCCAUGAUCUUUCUCAUGUUGACGCUGGUCGUCCUCAUGACUGAACCUGGAGAGUGUGGUUUUGUGCGUCUGGGACGAAGAUGGACAGAUUUCAAGCGUGGUAUGGACUCAUCUGGAGGGCCUGCAGAACAAGAAGUUGUCCAACAGGAUGCUGAAGCCUAUAAUCGCUGAAUUGAAAGAUCACACCAAGAUGCAGUUUUCAAGCUGUAUGAAUUGGGGGGAAAUACAUUACCACAUUACCCCAGACCAGUGAUCUCAGUUCUAACUGGUUUUGGAAAAAUGUCAAACUGCUUGAUAUUGCAAAAUGCAAAAAGUCAAACUCUGCUUUGUGUUAUUUAUGAAUACUACAAAACAAAAUAAAACUUACUAAAGACGUCUAGUGGGGACCAACUACAACCAUUAGAUUUUACAUUAAUUUGCUUUGGGUGGUGCCCAACAUGGCUUCAGUACUCCACCUGAGCCUUAUAAAGGUGGGGAAAACCCUGACUGAGCUAAGAUAUUAUGUAAACCUUGAUGUUAAUGGAAGACUCUACACAACUUCUAAGUUUCUUCACAGAAAAAGAGCUUGAAAAACAUGUAGAUGAUAUCAUGAGGUCAGAAUCUGAGAUUAAAACACUUUGUGAACAUGGCCUUAUCUCCAUCUUGAUAAAGAUUUGGGCAUGGUGAAAAUUUCAGCUUGUUAUUUCAACA